rnacentral:lncRNA from 1 species
AUGAGGGCCUGGUCUCUGCUUCUAAGGUGGUGUCUUGAAGAUUUCACUGUCUGGAGAGGAGAAAUCCUGUGUCUUCAGAUGGCAACAGAGCAGAAGACAGGGCAGACCGGCAGCAACAGCAUUGCUUGGGAACAUCUUAGAAUGCAGAAUCUCAGACCCCACCCCAAGCUGCUGAAUCGGCACCUGCAUCUAAACAAGCAAACAUCUCAAGCCUCCAUGUGCACUGGGAGCUCUGCAGAGAAAUCGAGCAGUGAGAAGUAAGUCCAGCUAAGAGAUAUUUUGUGAUGCUCACUAUGGGAUAAGAACCAAAUAUCUCUGAUGGCGAGUGAUGUUGAGCAUUUUUUCAUGUGUCUGUUGGCUGUAUGAAUGUCUUCUUUUGAGAAAUGUCUGUUCAUAUCCUUUGCCCACUUUUUGAUGGGGUUGUUUUUUUCUUGUAAAUUUGAUUGAGUUCUUUGUAGGUUCUGGAUAUUAGCCCUUUGUCAGAUGAGUAGAUUGCAAAAAUUUUCCCCCAUUCUGUAGGUUGCCUGUUCACUCCCGUGGUAGUUUCUUUUGCUGUGCAGAAGCCAUAAAAAAGGAUGAGUUUGUGUCCUUUGUAGGGACAUGGACGCAGCUGGAAACCAUCAUCCUCAGCAAAGUAUGGCAAGAACAGAAAACCAAAUACUGCAUGUUCUCACUCAUAGGUGGGAAUUGACCAAUGAGAUCACUUGGACACAGGAAGGGGAACAUCACACACCAGGUCCUAUCAUGGGGAGGGGGGAGGGGGGAAGGAUAGCAUUAGGAGAUAUACCUAAUGUAAAUGACGAGUUAAAGGGUGCAGCACACCCACAUGGCACACGUAUACAUAUGUAACAAACCUGCACGUUGUGCACAUGUACCCUAGAACUUAAAGUAUUAAAAAAAACAAAAACAAAAAAACAAGUAUCUGCAGAAACUGGAAGCUUGCUGCUGGCACUGACUCACUGGAGAGUGUGUGAAAGGAACAGAGCAGGCAAUAGAAUAUGCUCGUGACUGAAUCCACAUAUCAAUGUUGAUUUUUAAUAUGUCCAAACAUGGUUUCUUGCAAUGAGCCUUUCACUUAAUAAAUCAAAUUGAGGCUGGGCUCAGUGGCUCACACCUGUGAUUCUAGCACAUUGAAAGGCCAAGACAGGAGGAUCGCUUGAGCCCAGGAGCUAGAGACCAGCAACACAGUGAGACCCCAUCUGUAAAAAAGAUUAAAAAAUUAGGCCGGACACAGUGGCUCACACUUGUAAUCCCAGCAUUUUGGGAGGCCGAGGUGAGCACAUCACCUGAGGUCAGGAGUUUGAGACCAGCCUGGCCAACAUGGCGAAACCCCGUCUCUAAUAAAAAUUAGCCAGGCGUAGUGGUGGGCACCUGUAAUCCCAACUAUUGGGGACUACUGGGGAGGCUGAGGCAGGGGAAUCGCUUGAACGCGGGAGGUGGAGGUUGCAGUGAGCUGAGAUCGUGCCACUGUACUCUAGCCUGGGAGACAGAGCAAGACUCAGUCUCAAAAAAAAAAAAAAAAAAAAAUCAGCCGGGUGUGGGGACACAUGCCUGUAGUCCCAGCUGCUUGGAAGGCUUAGGUGGGGAGGAUCACUUGAGCCCAGGAUUUUGAGGCUGUGAUUGUGCCACUGUACUCAAGCAUGGUGGCAGAGUAAAACCCUGUCUCUAAAAAGGAAAAAUCAUAAUGAAAUCAUAUUGAGAAGAAAUGCAUUUUAAAUCUUCAUAUGGAUGAAUUCCUUAGAGUAGUAAAACAGUCAGUUUUACACUGAAUGUGCUUAAAAUACCGACAGCUACAAUCGUUAUACCUUGUAGCACCAAGAAUAGCAGCUGCCUUCGUGGAGGGAAGGCCACCUGAGCAGUUUCAUCUGUGUGGCCCUUCAUUUGGCCUCGCUGACUCAUGGCAUCACCAUUUUUCACAUGCUGUUUGGUUCACUUUAAGGGUGAUCUGAAAGUGCCAGAUAUGAGGUUCUGAUCUUACCAAAAACAAAAACAUCAGCAAACAAUGACAACAACAACAAAAAAGCCGGAAGCGGCUCACAUGGUGGAAAGUUACCAAAAGAGGCAAAGGGUAUAGCAAAGCUUAGUGAUUAGGCACAGGGGCUCUAGAGCCCAGCCUUGUGGGUUCAAACCGAGGCUUUGCCACUUACUAGCUGUGUGUCCUUAGCAAGUGACUUAAUCUCUCUGUACUUCAUUUUCUUCAUUUCUAAAGUGAGGAUGACAAUGAUAGUCCCUACCUCGCAGGGGUUUUGAGAGGAUAAAAUGAGUUAUUACGUAUGAGGCUUUUAAUUCUGGCCGACUAUAGUUGCUCUAUGAUACUUAUUAAAUGUACAGGUUAAGAAACAUAAGGAUUUACAUUGUUUUUUACAUUUUUGUUUGUUUUUAUUUUUUAGAGACAGGGAUCUUGCUCUGUUGUCCAGGCUGGUCUUGACUUUCUGGCCUCAAGCGAUCCUCCCACUUCAGCUUAUGAGUAGCUGAGGAUUUAUAUUCUUUUGCAUAGCUCAACCCCAGGAAAAACCUGAAAGAUAAUAUCUCAAGCUCUGAUGCUGUGGUUGAGUCAAUUUGGUGAAUAAACUUCUCUAAAGAGGAUGGGUCAUAACUCUCAGUUGUGUAGCUGAGUAACGGGAAGUAAGAUGUCAUUUGGAACAAUGAUAAAAAGGACAUAAAUUAAUGAAGAGGACUAUUUUUAAAAAAGGAAAAAAAAAAGCACUAACAGUUGAUAAUUCAAUAAUAACCUGAGUAGUUAACAAUAAUCAAUAAGGAGUUUAGAAAAGCCCCAGUUCUAAAGAAAAGGAUUGGAUACAUUAAAUUCGGAAAAAUAGGCUUGUGCCGACUAUUUACACAUAACAGAAUUCAUAUUAGAAUAUUGUUUUUUAAAUGCUCUCAACAGACAAAAUGAAAAAUAAAACUUCCCCCACCCCUUCUUUGGUAAAUGGAAGGAGAUGUCCCCAGCAGCCUUAUUCAGAGGGUGUCCCUGAUCUCGAGGUUCUGUCUCUUGGGGCAUGUGGGUCCCCCCAGCCACAUAAUCCGAACAUACUAGAAGCAUGCACAGGAAAAUAGAACCCAGGCUGUGUCCUCCACACCCAGAGCUUCCAUGAAACCACAGGGAGCCGUACACAAGGAUCACAUCACAUCCCCAAAUCACACAUUUCAAAUGGGAAAAACAGCCUGGAGAGAAGUUUCUCCCUCCUAAUUUGAAAGAAAGUUGCCUCUGGUCAAUCCUUAUCCACUUCUUUUGUUGGUUCCUUCUUUUCUUGGCUAUCUUUUAAAGUAAAAGUCUCCUGUCCUUGACUUUCUUCUCUGUCACCACCCCCUUCCUCGAAAACCUCAUUCUCAUUUGCUUUUGUAUCUCCAACGUAGACCUCUUUCCCGAACUCCAGACUCAUUGUACACAAGUGUCUACCCUUCCUCCGGCAUAUCUCUCAGAUAUCUGAAACCUAUCACAUCCAAAGGUGAACUUCUGAUCUUCUCCCCAAACCUCCCCCUUCUAAAUCUCAGUGGAGAGCAACUUGAAGCUUCGAGAUAUCCAUGCCAAAAGCCUCAGAGCCCUUUCUAAGUCUCCUCUGUCACAUCCAGCAUUGGAUCCACCAGGAAAUCGUGAUUCAGAAAUUAUCCAGAAUGUGACCACGUCUCACCACCUCCGCUGCUGAACCACCCUGGUCUGUAUCUUUCCUGGAUUAUGACACCAGCCUCCUAAUCUUUUGAAAACAUUACUCAGAUCAUGUCACUCCUCUGCUGAAAACCCUGCAUGGUUCCAUAUUCUUUUUUUCUUUUUUUUGAGGUGGAGUUUCACUCUUGUUGCCCAGGCUGGAGUGCAAUGAUACGAUCUCAGCUCACAACCUCCACCUCCCAGGUUCAAGUGAUUCUCCUGCCUCAGCCUCCUGAAUGGCUGGGAUUACAGGCGCCCCCCACCAUGUCCGGCUAAUUUCUUGUAUUUUUAGUAGAGAUGGGGUUUCACCACGGUGGCCAGGCUGGUCUCAAACUCCUGACCCCGGGUGAUCCACCCGCCUCAGCCUCCCAUAAUGCUGGGAUUACAGGUGUGAGCCACUGUACCUGGCGGGU